ensembl:snoRNA
CACGGUGAUGGUUUACUUUCUGGCCUGCUGAUUAUGUUUUCAAGGGAGCCUGACUCCGCCACACAUACUGGGUAGAAGCUGGCAAGGCUUGACUGGAGAUUGCCUCCUACAUGU